AGGCAUUGAAGUAAUAUGCCGUGUCGGAAUGCGGUAUAUUAUGGAGCCAGCUUGUGGGUUGUGCGAUAACCACAAACCCAAUAGGUCAUUUGACUGAACGAAAACGCCUACG
rnacentral:ncRNA from 1 species